rnacentral:misc_RNA from 1 species
GAAAUGCGAUAAGUAAUGUGAAUUGCAGAAUUCAUUGAAUCAUCGAAUCUUUGAACGCACCUUGCGCUCCUUGGUACUCCUUGGAGCAUGCCUGUUUGAGUAUCAUGAAAUCUUCAAAGUAAAUCUUUUGUUAACUCAAUUGGUUUCUACUUUGGUAUUGGAGGUCUUUGCAGCUUCACACCUGCUCCUCUUUGUUCAUUAGCUGGAUCUCAGUGUUAUGCUUGGUUCCACUCGGCGUGAUAAGUUAUCUAUCGCUGAGGACACUGUAAAAGGUGGCCAAGGUAAAUGCAGAUGAACCGCUUCUAAUAGUCCAUUGACUUGGACAAUACUUUUAUGAUCUGAUCUCAAAUCAGGUAGGACUACCCGCUGAACUUAAGC